rnacentral:rRNA from 1 species
UACAUGGGGUGCAAACGUUGCUCGGAAUUAUUGGGAGUAAAGCGCGCGUAGGCGGUUACUUAAGUCGGAUGUGAAAGCCCUCGGCUUAACUGAGGAAGUGCACCCGAAACUGAGUAGCUAGAGUACGAAAGAGGGUCGCGGAAUUCCCGGUGUAGAGGUGAAAUUCGUAGAUAUCGGGAGGAACACCGGUGGCGAAGGCGGCGACCUGGGUCGAGACUGACGCUGAGGCGCGAAAGCGUGGGGAGCAAACAGG